GAUGACCAACCUCCUCUUGAUAAAGAGCAACCUCCCCAAGUUGAUGGUCAAUCUCCCCAAGUUGAAGAGCAAUGUCUUCAGGUUGAUGACCAACAUCCUCUUGAUAAAGAGCAACCUCCCCAAGUUGAAGAGCACCCUCCCUAAGUUGAAGAACACCCUCCAAAGAGGCCACUAAAACGUUCACACUACAUGAAAUCACCAUACACUGACCCUUUUCUUCGGACCAGAUUGGGAUGAGAAGAUCAUGUCCAGUUUGAUCCUUCAAGGGAGAUUAAUCCGGAAAAACAAAAGAUGUUUGAUGAACAUUUAAGAAGUCAAAAAAAGUAUUGAUUGUCGGCUUGGUUUACGAACUAUAGAUUAUUUCCAGCGGAUUAUUAAAGACUAUGAAUGGCUAUUUACACAUUGAUGAUGCUCUCUUUGGCAUUAGAAAGUGAUAACAUGGGUAUCAAGAUGUGAUUUCACAAGAUGCAAUCAUUUUGGAUGAAAAAUUUACUCAAUUAGUGACCAUCAACUUCAACUCUAACCCUAACAUUAUUGAUGAUGAGUAUUGGAGCGACCUCAUCAAAAGAAAUGGAUGCUUUGAUGUUGUCACUCCAAACGAUGAUUCCGGCUAUGCUUUGUUUAUCUUCACAAUUUGAGGACAUAGCACAAUGUCUUCACAAACCAUGGAAAUAUACACGCUUACUUAGUGUUCCACAAAAUUCAAAGGGAGAUUAUGCAGUCUACGCAAUUAAAUUCAUUGAGUUUGACAUGGUUGGUUGUACUUUUAAUCGUCUUUCAGAUGACAUGAUACCAUUCUACAGAAUGAAGAUGGCGGUAGAUAUUUUUUUUUCAAGAUUGGGAUCUUUAGUAAUUUGUAUAUUUUAAAAUGUUUGGCUAGUUUCAAGAAUGACAAUGUUUUAAAAACUUUAUAUGUAGUUGAGCUCUACUAAGAUCAUCAUGAAUUUCUCUAGAUUUCUCAACCAUAUACUAAUGUCAGUUGAGCUUAUUUAGUAUUUGGAAAUCUCAACUGGAUAUAGUCGAGCUCUAUGGUAAACAAAAUUACAAUUUUGAUAAAUUAAUCUUUUUAAGAUUAUUAAGGUGAUGAUGAAACAAUAUGUAACUAGAUAGUGCUUAUUUUGUAUGUUGAUUUCUCAUUUUGUGCAAUAAAGUUUAUGGAUUUUCUUCUUCAAA